CAGUAGCCACGGUAAUACGUAGGUGGCAAGCGUUGUCCGGAAUUAUUGGGCGCAAAGGGCUCGCAGGCGGUUUCUUAAGUCUGAUGUGAAAGCCCCCGGCUCAACCGGGGAGGGUCAUUGGAAACUGGGAAACUUGAGUGCAGAAGAGGAGAGUGGAAUUCCACGUGUAGCGGUGAAAUGCGUAGAGAUGUGGAGGAACACCAGUGGCGAAGGCGACUCUCUGGUCUGUAACUGACGCUGAGGAGCGAAAGCGUGGGGAGCGAACAGGAUUAGAUACCCGCGUAGUCCCUGUCUCUUAUAC
rnacentral:rRNA from 1 species